rnacentral:rRNA from 1 species
AGUGAACGCUGGCGGUAGGCCUAACACAUGCAAGUCGAACGGCAGCACAGUAAGAGCUUGCUCUUACGGGUGGCGAGUGGCGGACGGGUGAGGAAUACAUCGGAAUCUACUUUUUCGUGGGGGAUAACGUAGGGAAACUUACGCUAAUACCGCAUACGACCUACGGGUGAAAGCAGUGGAUCUUCGGACCUUGCGCGAUUGAAUGAGCCGAUGUCGGAUUAGCUAGUUGGCGGGGUAAAGGCCCACCAAGGCGACGAUCCGUAGCUGGUCUGAGAGGAUGAUCAGCCACACUGGAACUGAGACACGGUCCAGACUCCUACGGGAGGCAGCAGUGGGGAAUAUUGGACAAUGGGCGUAAGCCUGAUCCAGCCAUACCGCGUGGGUGAAGAAGGCCUUCGGGUUGUAAAGCCCUUUUGUUGGGAAAGAAAAGCAGCAGGUUAAUACCCCGCUGUUCUGACGGUACCCAAAGAAUAAGCACCGGCUAACUUCGUG